ACCCACCUAACACAAUAUCCAGAAGUAGGUGGCAGGAGGAACGUGCAGCUGCUUGAGCAAGUCGUCCAGGAUCCAGCUCUUCCAGAUUCCUGCGGCACCAUCCUCCACACGUGGCAUUCUUCCUCAUGAUUAUAAGAUAUUUCCUUGGACAAAUGGUCUCUUCUCCUUCCUCUGGGAACACAAAGCCUGAAUGAUCUGCAGACCCAGGAGAGGAGAGCGGGGCUUAGAACACCCAGCGCCUAAAGACAGAACAUCUUUCAUUUAACUGUGUGACUUGAAGGUGAGCAGCGUGACCUCAGAUAUACAUCAGUGCCUCCCAGCACAGGUGGGUCUGCCUUGGGACUGACGGGGCUGCACAUCUGGAGGAGCUAACAUCUGGACGACCACACCCAUGGAAUGAGAUGCUGUCAUUGGCUAGCACUGGGGCGUUGGGUCAUUUCUUUUCUUCCUACUCCUUUCAUUUUACUUGUUAAAUUUCAGCUCUUUCUGAAAAUAAACAAGCGACAAUUUUAGCAGAGAUGGAAUGGGAGAAUUGUUCCUGAUUCCUGUUCCAUCUUCCAGACUCAUCAUUACCAGCCAAAGUAAUAUGAAAUUAAAACUGAGGCUUGGCUGUCCACUGCAACAAGCAGAAAUCUAAGACUAUAAUACUUAAAACACAACCUCUUACAGAAAUAAAAAUCUCUGCAAAGCCACAGAGCUCAGAAAUAGCAUUUGGUUCUGCAAAACUACUGCUUUUUUUUUCUUCUGCCAGAUCAAACCCCACAGAGAACUGCGGCAUUCUUGCUACUGUCCUUGCAAAUGGAAAAAGAAGGGGGCAGUAAAAUUAGGAAAGUGAGAAUAAUGUUCUAAGAAUGGAAAAUGCAAAGGUUAAAAAUUUGAAGAGGAAUGUUGCAUUUAGAAGCGAGGAAUUCAGGAGGGAGAACACUGUCAAAACAAUCAUGGCACCAGGCUUGCUUGGCAAUAUGGCUUAUCUCAGGAGACACUUGCCUCCAGGCCUCCAAACUGGCUACAUUUUGCCCCAGAAAUUCUUCACUUCACUCUAAAAUAGAGCUUGUAAAAGAAGUUGGAAGUAACUUUUAUGUGGUUGUUUUCUAAAAAUCUUUUUUCUCCAACAGAUGAAUCUCAAACACUUUGCUCUAAGCAGCAAAAGGUUCAAAUGUUAUCGGAUUGUUUAUAACAUUCAGUAACCUUCUGAGCCCCCAGUGUUUAUAGAAGUGAAUUGGGAGUAUUCAAGAACAGGUUGUCUGUCUAGUGGAAUUUCAAAUUUUCCAUAUUUGCUUAAUUUUGGAACCAAAUGUCAGAGAUGCUACAGCACCAAUAAGGCAGGAUCAUGUUGGAGCUCAUGCCUCAUUGGAUAAAAGCUAUUUGGAGCAAAAGAUUGGGCUUCUUCUGCUUACAAACCUGGGAUGGCAUUGGGCUUCAGAAAGGAUAACUAGAAAUGGUUCAAUGGUUAUUAAACAUAUUGAACAAACA